GAUGAACGCUGGCGGCGUGCUUAACACAUGCAAGUCGAACGGAAAGGCUCCUGCUUGCAGGGGUACUCGAGUGGCGAACGGGUGAGUAACACGUGGGUGAUCUGCCCUGCACUUCGGGAUAAGCCUUGGAAACUGGGUCUAAUACCGGAUAGGACGAUGGUUUGGAUGCCAUUGUGGAAAGUUUUUUCGGUGUGGGAUGAGCUCGCGGCCUAUCAGCUUGUUGGUGGGGUAAUGGCCUACCAAGGCGUCGACGGGUAGCCGGCCUGGGAGGGUGUACGGCCACAUUGGGACUGAGAUACGGCCCAGACGCCUACGGGAGGCAGCAGUGGGGAAUAUUGCACAAUGGGCGCAAGCCUGAUGCAGCGACGCCGCGUGGGGGAUGACGGCCUUCGGGUUGUAAACUCCUUUCGCUAGGGACGAAGCGCAAGUGACGGUACCUGGAGAAGAAGCACCGGCUAACUACGUG
rnacentral:rRNA from 1 species